AAUGUAUUUUUCAAGACAAUAUACGUUGAUUUCUUAAAACAGUGGACAAUAACUAAAUAAACAAAUUUUAUUUAGAGAGGACUACCAGCCUGUUCCCCCGGUCGUAAGUUGCAUUGUAUGCAACUUAAAUUACAGUGCUGAAAUAUACUUAAAAAGACACAUGAAAGAUAAACACUCUGCCAGACCUGCAUCGCCCUCUUCUUCACACGAUACCAUUAGGAAGCGCAAGCUGAUUGUUGAUGAAGUGAAAGCUAUAACUGGAGAAUAGAUGAAAGCACAAUUGAGUGAUAUUUCAGAAAUUGUCACAACCGUAGGUAUGAAUUCUAAUUUUAUAUGCCUGAUUGCAUUAAUUCUUUUGGUGUGUCAACGUAGGCGCUCUUCUUAGAAAAACAAUAUUACCUUUUAAAUUUUGCUUUUAAAAUCUCCUUAGUUCCAUCGUAGUUACAAGAAAUAAAGAUAUUAAUGUGUAUAUCGGGGCACACCUAUUAAGAGAUAAAAAAUGUUAUAUAUAUAUUUGUUGGUUAUUUUACAAGAUCUGGGGCAGAAUUCUAAAAAAUAAUGUUUUAGAUCUUGGCCUGCCUACUAACAGAUUAAUAUUCUAUA